GGACGGUUGGCAGAAUGGCUAUUGCACCUGUCUGUAAAACAGCGCCCUCUGGGCCUGGAGGUUCGAGUCCUCCACCGUCCA
rnacentral:tRNA from 1 species